rnacentral:rRNA from 1 species
AGCGAACGCUGGCGGCAGGCCUAACACAUGCAAGUCGAACGAACCCUUCGGGGUUAGUGGCGGACGGGUGAGUAACACGUGGGAACGUGCCUUUAGGUUCGGAAUAACUCAGGGAAACUUGUGCUAAUACCGAAUGUGCCCUUCGGGGGAAAGAUUUAUCGCCUUUAGAGCGGCCCGCGUCUGAUUAGCUAGUUGGUGAGGUAAUGGCUCACCAAGGCUACGAUCAGUAGCUGGUCUGAGAGGAUGACCAGCCACAUUGGGACUGAGACACGGCCCAAACUCCUACGGGAGGCAGCAGUGGGGAAUCUUGCGCAAUGGGCGAAAGCCUGACGCAGCCAUGCCGCGUGGAUGAUGAAGGUCUUAGGAUUGUAAAAUCCUUUCACCGGUGAAGGUAGUGACUGUAGCCGGAGAAGAAGCCCCGGCUAACUUCGUGCCAGCCGCCGCGGUAAGAC